GGUUUUGAUAAAUCUCCCCCAAUGUCAUAAAAAAGUAACAUGGAGCCGCCCUAACUUGGUGUCCAAAGGAGCAGCUAACCCUGGUACAGAUGAUGUCUAACUCACAGCAUGAUUGUAUGUGGAUCAGCACUAUUACGGAUGAGCAGCAGAUUGCACAUUCAGGGACCAGUAUAGCAUGCAGAGGGGUGGAAUAUUCAUUGGUUCUAAAAUGAAGGCUGUGGAUCUGUACAGCACAGAUAAAGGCUGAGGUCAUCGGUGGCAAUUGCCUUUGGAGAUCAGUCGCAGCACGCCGGUUAUACACACAGGAUGACAGGAGGAGAUAAUAAUGGGAUCUGACAUUGUGAACUUCAUGGCUAUAAUCAGCAGCUGUCAUCAUUCCAGGGACAGAUAACACAGAUUUGCUUUGCCUAUAAUGUCUAAGCACAAGGUGUGUGCCGUAAAGAGCUUGUCUGGGAGCAGAAAAAGGACCUUUGUUUCCCCUGAGAAUAGACACUUGUAUCAUUGAGCACUGUCUUGUGUCGAGGCUCAGCUCUGUUCCCUUGAUCUACGGAACUGCAGUACCAAGUGAAGCCAAGAGUGGUGCUGUCCACUGGCUGAGCGGGCUGUCACUGCAGUGAAGAACUUGUCUUGGAAGUGGGAAGUAGCCAGAGCUUCGGAGGACAGGAUGACAUCACAGCAGGACCACUGAGGGACAGAGGACCAUCCAACCUAAUCAAGGCCGUGAUCAAAAUGCAAGAGUCAGCAUUUACCUUCCCGAGAUGUCAGCAAAUUAGCAAAUUUCUUGAUGCCGAAAUUGUGGAGCAUGAAAUGAUAGCGUUGUUCAGAUUCAUCAGUAUCCAGGCCGUGUAAC